rnacentral:rRNA from 1 species
CGUGUAGGCGGCCAGUCAAGUCAGAUGUGAAAUCCCUGAGCUUAACUCAGGAACUGCAUCUGAAACUGAUUGGCUCGAGUACAGGAGAGGAAGGUGGAAUUCCUGGUGUAGAGGUGAAAUUCGUAGAUAUCGGGAAGAACACCGGUGGCGAAGGCGGCCUUCUGGCCUGAUACUGACGCUGAGACGCGAAAGCGUGGGGAGCAAACAG